UACAGAGGGUGCAAGCGUUUGCUCGGAAUUAUUGGGCGUAAAGGGUAGGUAGGUGGUCUGAUUUGUCUGUUGGUGAAAUCCCGGGGCUUAACUCCGGAAGUGCCACAGAAACGGUCAGACUUUGAGUACUGGAGAGGUAAGCGGAAUUCCCGGUGUAGCGGUGAAAUGGCGUAGAGAUCGGGGAGGAACACCAGCGGCGAAGGCGGCUUACUGGACAGUUACUGACACUCAACUACGAAAGCGUGGGGAGCAAACAGG
rnacentral:rRNA from 1 species